rnacentral:rRNA from 1 species
AUGGGGGAAAGCCUUUUGCUUUGUAUCUUCACGGCCCAUAAGUCUGACCCACAUCCAGUAGUCCGGACACCCGAGGACCCCCUAAUCCAGGACUCCCUCAGUAGCCCCCGAACUAGUCUUCAAAUGACGACGCAGUAUCUGGCUUACGUCUUCAGCUUUUGCAAGGCUGGUACUUCACCGUAUACUGGGCAGACAAUAGUUCGGCCAUGGCUUCCUUGUUCCGUCUUUAUGAAUCCUUCCCUAUCGCCUCGAUUUCCACGCGCUGGGCGAAUGCGAAUGGUCCACCAUUUUUUAUUAAAAAGAAAACACCCGGCCAUGCAGCGAUGGUGCCUAUAUAAAGAGAUUGAAUCCUCAAAGUGCCAUCCACAUCACGCAGAAGAAACACCAAGAUCAGCCACAAAAAAACUUCCAAACAUGGCCAGCGCCCCAGGCUCUUCUUCGCGCCCCCAUGGCCCUCAAGAGGGCGAUUGGCAGAGCUGCUCAGUGCAUCAUCUUCAGCUGAGUCGGCUCCAGACGCAGGGAUAUCUUCCCCUCGCAGAUCUAGUCUCUGUUCGAGCGGGAUUGGCCUCAAUAGGCAACGAUGUGUUGGCUGAAAAUUUCCCCAACCCCAAUAGGGAGGAAAGAGUGUGCUUCGUUCCAUUCCUUUUGCGGGGCUUAGGUUUUCCAAUCCAUCCCUUUCUCAGGGGUCUAUUGGAUUUUUACGGCAUCCAGCUGCACAACCUCACCCCAGGUUCGAUUCUGCACAUCUCAGGUUUCGUUGCCCUCUGCGAGCUGUUCUUGGGCAUUGAGGCCCAUUCUAAACUGUGGAAAAAGUUUUGUGUCUUGUCCCCCGCCAUCGAAGAGGCUCCAUAUUUGAAGUGGGCGGUGCCAAAGUAUGGCGUAUAG